rnacentral:rRNA from 1 species
CCAGCAGCCGCGGUAACUCCAGCUCCAAUAGCGUAUAUUAAAGUUGCUGCAGUUAAAAAGCUCGUAGUUGGAUCUCGGUACCACUGUUGCUCGUCAGCCCUCUGGCAGUUGGUUAUGCGCGCAUGGGCACGACCUGUGUUGCGGUGACUUGACUGCCAGAGUUGGCGAAGUGAUGGUGUCACCUUUCAGCCAUGUCUGUGGUGAAAUACCCUCAGGUGUAGGCGAGUGUCGGAUGGUGCCUAGCGUAAGUUGGGUCCGUCGGCUCGUUUGCAUGCCUUUGGAUGCCCUUCAAAAGGUGUCUGUGGGCGGACGGCACGUUUACUUUGAACAAAUUUGAGUGCUCAAACCAGGCCGAUGUUGCCUGAAAAGUUUUGCAUGGAAUAAUGGAAUAGGACUUCGGUUCUAUUUCGUUGGUUUUCGGAUCCGAAGUAAUGAUCAAAAGAGACAGGCGGGGG